GUACUUAAGUUUUUUGUUCAAUGUCAAAUUGUAUAGGUUUCUUCAAGGACCUGAAAUUGAUCAAGAAAUUGUCUCAAAGAUAAGAGAUGCUAUUAUAUAACAGAGGGAAAUUACUGUUCAGUUGAUCAACUUUCCUAAAAGUGGGUGAGCUACAAUACUUCAUUGGUGUUCAACUGGAUAAAAGUGAUCACGUGGAACUGCUAAGAAACCGUCUCUCUGAGCAUACAGAGCUACAAAGUGUUAAGUUGGUAUGCAAUUUCUUGAUUAUUUGUAACAAAUUAUCAAGACCGGAAAUGUUUAGCAACAAUGGCUGCAUAGUUUCUUGCGUGAAUUACAAAUACACGACAUGAUAUGUUCAUUGCCAUUUGUAAGAGAAAAGUGGCUCGUUCUUACAAGGAAUCAAGGGAAGAUACAACUAGCAAGAUUUCCAAAUUACAAGAGCUCUUAAACAAUGGAAUUCACUGUUAUAGGUGAGAGGCCUCCCGAUCGUGAGAGGGGUUACGAGAAGCAAUUUGAAGAACGGAGAAGGAAGCAGUUAUUAAUAACUGUACCCGAAGAGCUUGUGUAAUCUA